rnacentral:lncRNA from 1 species
UGGAGGAGGUGGAUAAUCCAAUGCAUGUGAAAAAAAGAAAAUCAAGUCUGUUCCCUGCCAAUUGUAAUUGUCUCUGGUCAAAUCUAUAGCCAUGCGCUAGAUCAAAUUUGAGAAAGAAAGCAAAAUCAAGAUUGAGGAUAGUUGCCUCCGUCUCCAUGCGCUAGAUCAAAUUUGAGAAAGAAAGCAAAAUCAAGAUUGAGGAUAGUUGCCUCCGUCUCUAUGCCGCUAAAAGGAAAUUCACAUUUAUCUUUGCUAUGCACAAACAAAGGAGUACAAGAAGACUUCAAGUGCUUCAUGGCAACACUGACAAUCGGUAAUUCAGACACACCGACAACAACCUUGACUACUCAUCUCGACUGGAAACUAGUAAGAAACGUG